CCUACGGGAGGCAGCAGUGAGGAAUAUUGGUCAAUGGACGAGAGUCUGAACCAGCCAAGUAGCGUGAAGGAUGACUGCCCUAUGGGUUGUAAACUUCUUUUAUAUGGGAAUAAAAUGUUCCACGUGUGGGAUUUUGUAUGUACCAUAUGAAUAAGGAUUGGCUAACUCCGUGCCAGCAGCCGCGGUAAUACGGAGGAUCCGAGCGUUAUCCGGAUUUAUUGGGUUUAAAGGGAGCGUAGGUGGAUUGUUAAGUCAGUUGUGAAAGUUUGCGGCUCAACCGUAAAAUUGCAGUUGAAACUGGCAGUCUUGAGUACAGUAGAGGUGGGCGGAAUUCGUGGUGUAGCGGUGAAAUGCUUAGAUAUCACGAAGAACUCCGAUUGCGAAGGCAGUUCACUGGACUGCAACUGACACUGAGGCUCGAAAGUGUGGGUAUCAAACAGGAUUAGAUACCCCUGUAGUC
rnacentral:rRNA from 1 species